UGUUAAGUUCCUGACUCUUUAGCUCCUAAGCUGAUGUUUAUUGAAAUUCUAAAUGAAGUAUUUUCCCUUAUUAGAGCUGUUGCUGCUGAAGUUUGAGAGCUCUUUUCUCCUAUCCCUCCGCACUCUGAGCUUGCAUUGAAUGGGUUUAAGUGUUUAUGAAUGCAAGUGGAAGUCAUCGCCAACUAAGAGAGCUAGAUAUUAGUCUUCUUGCUUUUAUAGGUGCUAUGCUCACUCGUGGAGGGUUACAUGUACAGAGAUCACAAAGGAUGUGAUGGUAGUCACCUUUAAUAUGAUGGAUGUGCUUCUGUUGUAAAUGGAGAUCUUGUUGCUGAAGGCUCAGUUUUCUUUGAAGGAUGUAGAGGUUGUGAUAGCCCAAAUUGAUUUGGAAGCGAUUUCAAGUAAGAGGACCUGGGAGUCUAUAUAUAACCUGGGACUACACAGUACUGAAACCACAAGAUCCAAGCCCUUCUCAAACCAUGAAGGGGUUAUGCAGGGGUGCUUUCAAAUUAUAGUAGAAGAAGCAGGUACAUUUCAUUAGGGUUGUGAAAAUACCACUGAGCCUAUGAGUACACGUACAGUGCUUUCACACAGGAUGCGAAGGUACACCAGUUGAGACUGGAUAGUUUGGAUUUUGGAAGCUGCUAUUAGUCAGCCUCAGUGUUUCAUUUGUAAGAACUGUGAUCAAGUAGAAGUAGGGAAUGAUCAUUGAAAGAAGCUGUCCACACAUUCUCAAUGGAUAGUGCACUCUCUGGUGGUGGAACUUGUACUUCCCAAUACCCAAUAGUGUACCAUCCCCCAAAAGGGCUGCAGAAUUGGCCUAUGCUAUAUAAUGUUGUCGAGAUAUCACAGCGUCGACACUUUGGAGAACGUGAUCACAAAAGCAAAGUUAAGGAAGAUAAAACCAGAUCAUCUUGCACUUAAAGACUGGUUGUUUGAGUUCA